rnacentral:rRNA from 1 species
UAACAAGGAUUCCCUUAGUAACUGCGAGUGAAGAGGGAAAAGCUCAAAUUUAAAAUCUGGCAGUGUUUCACUGUCCGAGUUGUAACCUAGAGAAGUGUAACCUGCACUGGACCGUGUACAAGUCUCCUGGAAUGGAGCAUCACAGAGGGUGAGAAUCCCGUCUUUGACAUGGACUGCCAGUGCAUUGUGGUUGUGCUCUCAACGAGUCGAGUUGUUUGGGAAUGCAGCUCUAAAUGGGUGGUAAAUUCCAUCUAAAGCUAAAUAUUGGCGAGAGACCGAUAGCGAACAAGUACCGUGAGGGAAAGAUGAAAAGAACUUUGGAAAGAGAGUUAAACAGUAUGUGAAAUUGUUGAAAGGGAAACAUUUGAAGUCAGUCGCAUUGGCUGGGGAUCAACCUGACUUUUUGUUAGGUGUACUUCCUGGUUGAUGGGUCAACAUCAGUUUUGACUGCCAGAAAAAGGCUAAGGGAAUGUGGCACCUUUGGGUGUGUUAUAGCUCUUGGUCGUAUGUGGUGGUUGGGACUGAGGAAAGCAGUGUGCCGAAAGGCCGGGUUUCGACCACGUUCACACUGAGGAUGUUGGCAUAAUGGCUUUAAGUGAC